rnacentral:rRNA from 1 species
CUAUGGCAUGCAACACAGUGCCUAUAGGGCAUUUCCGGGGUCUUCGGGCCCCGGUAAUCCCUAGUCCCUGCCUUGACUGGGACAGACUAUUGCAAUUAUUGGUCUCAAACGAGGAAUUUUUAGUAGUCGUAGGUCAUUAACCUGCGACGAAUGCGUCCCUGCCCUUUGUAAUGGNGCCCCGCCCUUUGUAAUGNCNCCC